rnacentral:rRNA from 1 species
CACCGGCGGCUCGAGUGGUGGCCCCUUUUAUUGGGUCUAAAGCGUCCGUAGCCGGCUUGGCAAGUCCCCUGGGAAAUCUGGCGGCUUAACCGUCAGGCGUCCAGAGGAUACUGCCAGGCUUGGGACCGGGAGAGGUGAGAGGUACCUCAGGGGUAGGGGUGAAAUCUUGUGAUCCCUGAGGGACCACCAGUGGCGAAGGCGGCCCCCUGGACAAAGACUGACGCUCAGGCACGAAAGCGUGGGGAGCAAACAGG